UACGUAGGGUGCAAGCGUUAAUCGGAAUUACUGGGCGUAAAGCGUGCGCAGGCGGUUAUGUAAGACAGUUGUGAAAUCCCCGGGCUCAACCUGGGAACUGCAUCUGUGACUGCAUCGCUGGAGUGCGGCAGAGGGGGAUGGAAUUCCGGCGUGUAGCAGUGAAAUGCGUAGAUAUGCGGAGGAACACCGAUGGCGAAGGCAAUCCCCUGGGCCUGCACUGACGCUCAUGCACGAAGCGUGGGGAGCAAACAGG
rnacentral:rRNA from 1 species